GCCGGAUGAACUGCUGGUCUCUCAGAAACCACCCAGCCCGUACUGGGGAAAGGACUUCUGCGCUCCUCUGGUGUUUCCAAUCCUGGCAACAGGCGUGCUGUUCGUUUUUAUUCAGACCUAUUGGGGUACAUCACUUUGAGGUGUAAGAAGCCCCAGUCGUCCACCUGUGCUCUAGGAGGCCGUCAUGAGCAGAGACUCCGGAGUGAGUCAGUCCGCAGAGGACCAUAACAAGCCUUUAUUAUGAGGAGGAUCUGCCA